AGCGCAGACGGUUUAUUAAGUCUGAUGUAAAAGCCCGGAGCUCAACUCCGGAAUGGCAUUGGAAACUGGUUAACUUGAGUGCAGUAGAGGUAAGUGGAACUCCAUGUGUAGCGGUGGAAUGCGUAGAUAUAUGGAAGAACACCAGUGGCGAAGGCGGCUUACUGGACUGCAACUGACGUUGAGGCUCGAAAGCGUGGGGAGCAAACA
rnacentral:rRNA from 1 species